AAAAACUAAAUGUAAAACCUAAAACUAUAAAACUCCUACAAAAAACAUAGAGGAAAAUCUUCAUGACAUUGAAUUUCGCAACGAUUUCUUGGCUAUAACACCAAAAGCCUAGGACACAAAAGCAAAAACAAAUGGA